rnacentral:rRNA from 1 species
UACGGAGGGGGCGAGCGUUGUCCGAAGUUACUGGGCGUAAAGCGCGCGUAGGCGGGUUGGUAAGUCCGCUGUGAAAGCCCGGAGCUUAACUCCGGAGGGUCGGUGGAUACUGCCAGUCUUGAAGGUGCUAGGGGGAGAUGGAAUUACCGGUGUAGCGGUGAAAUGCGUAGAUAUCGGUAGGAACACCAGUGGCGAAGGCGGCAUCCUGGACCAUUACUGACGCUGAAUCGCGAAAGCUAGGGGAGCAAACGGG